UGGGUUAGGAUUGAGCCGUCACCAGUCUGUAGGAUAUGUCAAGAUGUCCUGGUGAGGCUGGGUUAGGAUUGAGCCGUCACCAGUCUGUAGGAUAUGUCAAGAUGUCAUGGUGAGGCUGGGUUAGGAUUGAGCCGUCACCAGUCUGUAGGAUAUGUCAAGAUGUCAUGGUGAGGCUGGGUUAGGAUUGAGCCGUCACCAGUCUGUAGGAUAUGUCAUGAUGUCCUGGUGAGGCUGGGUUAGGAUUGAGCCGUCACCAGUCUGUAGGAUAUGUCAAGAUGUCAUGGUGAGGCUGGGUUAGGAUUGAGCCGUCACCAGUAUGUAGGAUAUGUCAAGAUGUCAUGGUGAGGCUGGGUUAGGAUUGAGCCGUCACCAGUAUGUAGGAUAUGUUAAGAUGUCAUGGUGAGGCUGGGUUAGGAUUGAGCCGUCACCAGUCUGUAGGAUAUGUCAAGAUGUCCUGGUGAGCAAGGAACUGCCUGUAGGCAAAUAUUUGAAGUGUAAGGCUUAAUGCGCAGGCCAAGGCUUAAUGCGCAGGCCAAGGCUUAAUGCGCAGGCCAAGGCUUAAUGCGCAGGCCAAGGCUUAAUGCGCAGGCCAAGGCUUAAUGCGCAGGCCAAGGCUUAAUGCGCAGGCCAAGGCUUAAUGCGCAGGCCAAGGCUUAAUGCGCAGGCCAAGGCUUAAUGCGCAGGCCAAGGCUUAAUGCGCAGGCCAAGGCUUAAUGCGCAGGCCAAGGCUUAAUGCACAGGCCAAGGCUUAAUGCACAGGCUAAGGCUUACACCCGUUUGAUGAAAUAUCUGUGAAGAGCAGAAAGACCCACUGCAUCUGUACAUUAUGAGUGUUUCCCUUGGAAGGAAAUGUAAAUGUUGUGUAAAGAGCGUGAGGCCAUGUUGCAUACAGACCAUGCUAACUAUUUGAGGAUGAACAACGUCUCUCUCAGCCUAACGCCUCCCGAGUCUGAACGGAACUCCGUUACGAACCCUGAUGCGUAGCAUGGCAGCCUAUCUGGUUUGUUUAUGCUGAGAAUAAUGUUUCUUCUGCUCUUGGACAGGCCAAUGGAAAACUCACCAGAAGAAUGACUCUUGGCAGCACCCUAUGGGCGCCGGUAGUUUUAGUUUUGAGAAACGAGGCCCUGAAAUGAUAUGAACUGUUACGUAAUGGGUUGUGUCAGUCAGUGGUCUGUGGGUUCUACCUCGUAGCUGCUGUGCUGGCAGGCUGUUUGUGUGAGGAGGAGGAUGUUUAGUGAAGCCCCAUUCAGUACUCAGUUCCUGAGAGGUCUCGUCGGAGGAAGAACACGCAGGAUGACUUGUUUUUGUGACCGGGUAAAUACAUUUGUUCUCCUUAAAUAGAAAGCACUGUACUGUCUCUCAGAACAUCUCAUAGGGGCAGCUGGGCCUAUUUAGUGAUUCACAUACAUUAUAUAUAGGGGGGAUGGUUUGACUGUUAAACAGCACAGAGGUCUGUCUUGUAAAACGUCGUUCUAAUGUAAUGACUGUAAUGGUUCUGUCAUAGCUGGCUGCACCAUAUAAUGUCAUGGCCUUGCAUUAGCCACCGUGAGCUUCCAGCUGCUCUGGUACCAGAUCCUGUUCUGUGUGGUGGUGGUGAAUGAUGACACCCUGAUGAAGGCUUUAAUGCUGAAACCAGUCGGUUUAGGAAGCACCUUUUUACUGAACCUGAAAAGGCCUGAGUAUCACAGACUGGGUUUCUCCUUCAAUUCAUCCACCUUGGUCGGUCUGUGAGGUAGAAGAAGUAGCGGCCUAUUCUUUUCCCCUUGUUGUGGUAGCACAGGUCUGCCUGGUGGAGGACCUGGCAGCUCUCCUGUUUUCCACUGCCUCAGAAGAGCAUCAUCAGGAAGCCUUACUGCACCAGGAUGGAUGUUUCUAAUUACCCAGUUGUAAUUAAGGUCUCUGCUCUGGUUCUGGGGGGAGGAGGGGGAGAGAAUGGGCCCGUGGGCACUGCAGCCAUGUCCUCAGUAAGUGGGCCUAACACAGGCUAGGCUUCUCUGGUGUCUGGUUCGCUAGUGGUUUGCUAUUUGACAUGUUUAUUGAACAGACCAACACCCAAGAAGGAGGCUGUCAUUUUUGCAAGCCGUUGUAAAAGUGACAGCGUAAAAGUAACAUUUCAAUUGAGAUUGUCUGUACCACAACAGAGACAUGAAGUCCUGUGCGUGUUUUAAUUUGAACUUUAAAAUCCCCUCAUCCCGUGUAUCUUUCCCAGCCCUGGGUCUUCUGCUGGCUCUCACAGAGACGAGGUCAGCCACUAGGGACUGACUCACACUGCUCAAAUUCAUGUGCGUCAUCUCAUUCCAAUUCCAACUUUUUGCUGCAUGUCUUCUCAAGGCAUGUAGGAGAGGCUUGAAGUCAACACACACACACACACACACACACACACACACACACACACACACACACACACACACACACACACACACACACACACACACACACACACACACACACACACCCUAUAGAUAUAGCAUGUUGUAGACCUAUCGUCAGUUCAGAGUAGUUUGUCUGUCUGGUACAGUGUCCAGCAUCGUUGUCUGGUAAUUCAAUAGAGCCACAACAAGCCCAUCCACAGCACAGUAACUCAAGUCCCCUGACACACCUGGUAUCCAGAGGAACCGGGGCAGCCAGACAGCAGUGUCUGUGUCCCAGAGAUCAACAGUCUGUCAGCUUUUCCCUUGGUGAAAAUAUCAGGAAUGUCCAGGGGAAUUUUGGAGAGCUCUAGGGUGUAUUCAUUACACCGAUUCUGUUGCAUUUAGUUUACUCCAAACAAAAUAAAUGUUUUGCCACGAAAACUAGAGUUUCUAUUGGACAAAUUCUGGUAUGUCCCUCCCUGUUUCAUUCCGUUUGCUGUGCUUGCUUCUGUUUUGUUCUUAAACAAUAAAUGUUUUCUUUUGCACGACAUAAUGAAUACACCCCUGCUGUGUAUCCUGCUCUGAACACACAGAGCUUCCAGGUUUUUAGGGAUCAUACAUGUAUGGUUCCAGAGUUUGAUACAUUUUCCUAAAGCCCCAUGGGAGUUGGAGUAUACUGUACUUGUUGUCUGUAUUGCAGACUUGGCACCUGGUAGAUAAUAUGUUGUCGUUACGUAGGUGUGGGCACCUAAUCCCCACAUGCCCCUGCUGCUCCCUCUCUGAUUAAAUCUGAUGACACAGUCUGUCUGAGCCCAUACCAGCAUCUUACUGCCCUGGACUAGACUCCAGUAGUCUGUGCGGCAUUACUUUGCAUUCGGCUGUUAAGAUGAUGCAAUUGGUUCCCCGGUAAGCUCCUCCCCUGCCCUCAAACAGCAGAGCCCAUCAUCCUACUCCAGGCAGUUGUUUUUGAGACCCUCCCUGAUAUCUGAUUGGUGUUGACUCCGGUCAGUCAUUUCAUUUUGAACAUCAACAGACAAUUUUGACUUCUGAAAACAUUGUGCAAGUGAUGAUGCCCCAGGUCAACCAACGGGCUUGGCGAUGAUAUCAUCACAUUCAUCACAACGCAGUCAUUUAACAUACAGUAUAUAGAAAAUUAUAUUAGUGUUUGUGGAAUUUACUUCUGCCAGAUGCCUUUUAUGAAGUUGUGUUAAAGAACAUUCCGCUUUGUUUUUCACCCAUUUGAAAACCAUUUUAAAAAAGACUACAAAAAUGUAACUACAAUACUACUUCCUGGAAAGCGGUGUGUCACUUUCAUACCGUAUAGCCAUUGAACAAACUGUAUAAACCAGACUCUGGGGUGGAGCGUGCAGUCAGUAAUGAGACUCCAGUAAGUGUAGCCUCCCUCUCAAGUCUCCUGGGCCUAGGCAGGGUAGCCUAGUGGUUAGAGCGUUGGACUAGUAACCGAAAGGUUGCAAGUUCAAAUCCCUGAGCUGACAAGGUACAAAUCUGUCAUUUUGCCCCUGAACAGGCAGUUAACCCACUGUUCCUAGGCCACCAUUGAAAAUAAGAAUUUGUUCUUUAACUGACUUGCCUAGUUAAAUAAAGGCAAAAUAAAUAAAAAAAUGUGCUGACUUUUCAAGUUCUAUAACAACUCUCUCAUCUUCCAUCUUCAAUUUCUGCAUGUGUCACAGAGGUGGUGUUGCCAGGCGUUCUGUGGUAGGAUUCUCAUUUUUAUAGGCCCUGUACAUAUGACUAAAAGUGAUGAUGUCAUUUGAUCUCUUUCUGAGGAAAGUUUGUCUCCUCACAAUUCACUGGGCUCGAUCGUCUGAGGAAUGACUGUUGGGCUAGCUGAAUGCAUAAUUCAUGUGAGGUCCAGGCCAGCAGACCACGUAUGCGAGGACAUAUUGGGUGGUAAAUUGUGCUGAAAGCUGUGGAACUCAUCUUUGAGAGUCUCCCCUGCCCUCGUUUGAUUAAUGGUAGUCACUGGCUGAGUGAGCGGUUUAAUUCCUCAAAGUGAGAUGGAAGGAGUUAGGGAUUAGUUUGUACUCCUAAUGUUAUGUCUUAGUGUCUGGUGAGUACCUCUCUUUGGACUGGUUUAGACUCUAAAGCGAGCCUUUUAAAUAGUAGUGUUAUUACUUGUGAGUUUGAGGUUUCUCUCUUUGUCUAAAGAACUGAUGGGUGAUUUAGUUUGAUGUAUGAACAGAGGAUGGAAUUUUGAUGGUAUCUCAUUCAAUUAUGCGUUGCAAGUUCAAACUGAAAGUGAGGUGAAUCGAUCGGAGAGAGGCUGAACAGGCCUCCUUAAAAUGUUCAGCUAAGUUGUAUCCAUAGGGAACAGAUGGAUGCUGUUCGUCAGCUAAAGGCAGCUCCUGGAACUGCUCUCGUGGAAGUGAACACCAUGGGCUCGUCUGUCAGUGCCAGUAUCACGUAGCCUCAUCAUGUUCUGUGGUAUCAUCUCCGAGACGGCGAGACCUUCUGUUUGGUUCUCUUUCUUUCUUAAAAAGAAAAAACUGCCACAUUUAUUUCAAAUGAGCCUAUUUGCUUGUUGCAGCCUGUUCUGUGAGGUGAUUCUGUUUCAUAGUUUGAGUCAGUCACAACAACAACAAAAAGAAACCCUUCCUAAGAGAGGACAGUAUCAGGCUGUUAUGUCAUUUAGAUGUGGCCUCGUCUCUUAGUAAUGUUUGGGUUGGUGGAAAAGGGAAGAUACUGUAGAAUGACUGUCUCACGGCAGCUAUAUGUCUUAGUACAGGGGGAUUUCCAUUUAAUUAGAAUAAGUCAUGCUGCCUGAACAUAUUAAAAUGGGAGACUUGGUUCUGGGUUAUCCAUUUCCCUCUCUGUAUACAGUGUCUGUAGAUUCCUGCUCACUGACGUGAGAUUAGUUGCAUUGACCCGAGUUGAGACUGGCGUUCUUCAGAACACUAGAAAACCGCAUGCUUGUCAUAGAUGACUUGAUUAUUCAAAUGGAAUCUCUGUGUAGUCUAGUUCUGUUACUGCUG